CACCAGACUCCUACGGGAGGCAGCAGUGGGGAAUAUUGCACAAUGGGCGAAAGCCUGAUGCAGCAACGCCGCGUGAAGGAAGACGGUUUUCGGAUUGUAAACUUCUGUUCUUAGUGAAGAAUAAUGACGGUAACUAAGGAGCAAGCCACGGCUAACUACGUGCCAGCAGCCGCGGUAAUACGUAGGGGGCAAGCGUUAUCCGGAAUUACUGGGUGUAAAGGGUGAGUAGGCGGCAUGGUAAGCCAGAUGUGAAAGCCGUGGGCUUAACCCGAGGAUUGCAUUUGGAACUAUCAAGCUAGAGUACAGGAGAGGAAAGCGGAAUUCCUAGUGUAGCGGUGAAAUGCGUAGAUAUUAGGAAGAACACCAGUGGCGAAGGCGGCUUUCUGGACUGAAACUGACGCUGAGGCACGAAAGCGUGGGGAGCGAACAGGAUUAGAUACCCCAGUA
rnacentral:rRNA from 1 species